UCAAGAGUUGAACACUUACCCGACUGAGCCAGACAGGUGCCCCCAGAUAUAUAAAUGUUUUUAAGUAUAGAGUAUUCUGCCUACACUGAUGGCAUAUUAUGUAAUGUGUACCAACCUUUUCACUAAGAAUGAUGAGAAAUACUGGAAAAUGUGUUUUUAAAAUGUCUUCAAAGACAUAGAAAUGAUGCAGCAUGAUAAGAACAUAAAGAAUGAAGUAAGAGAAGAAAACACAAGUAGUUGAGCUUAGCAUUGGGACAUCUUUUCUCCAAGGACAUCUGCCAUUUCCUGAAUAGAGGAGAAGAUGAGAUACCAAGCAGUGAUGGUAGCAGGCUCCAGGACCUAGCGGGUACAGAUGGAAACCAAAGAAGUAAAUCCUUUGUGUAGACCAUAAAGCAUUGUAUCCUAAAACAGAGAACUUGAUGAACUCAACCUACAAUUUAUGUGAAAAUCUAAAAAAACAAAAAAGAGAAAUGCUCCUGAAGAAGAAGUCUAAGUAGUGAAGCCUGGGAUGCCUGUGUGACUCAGAGGUUGAGCAUCUGCCUUUGGCUCAGGGUGUGAUCUCAGAUUCCCAGGAUCGAGUCCCACAUCGGGCUCCUUGCAUGGAGCCUGCUUCUCUUCCCUCUGC